rfam:Schistosoma mattheei strain Denwood, Zambia genome assembly, scaffold: SMTD_scaffold0005643
AUCCGUCUGACGAGUCCCAAAUAAGACGAAACACGCAUCUUGGAU